rnacentral:rRNA from 1 species
AGUGAACGCUGGCGGUAGGCCUAACACAUGCGAGUCGAACGGCAGCACAGUAAGAGCUUGCUCUUACGGGUGGCGAGUGGCGGACGGGUGAGGAAUACAUCGGAAUCUACUUUUUCGUGGGGGAUAACGUAGGGAAACUUACGCUAAUACCGCAUACGACCUACGGGUGAAAGCAGGGGAUCUUCGGACCUUGCGCGAUUGAAUGAGCCGAUGUCGGAUUAGCUAGUUGGCGGGGUAAAGGCCCACCAAGGCGACGAUCCGUAGCUGGUCUGAGAGGAUGAUUCGCCAAACCUGAAACGAGGAACGGUCCAGACUCCCUAGGGAGGGAGGAGGUGGGAAUAUUGGACAAUGGGCGCAAGCCUGAUCCAGCCAUACCGCGUGGGUGAAGAAGGCCUUCGGGUUGUAAAGCCCUUUUGUUGGGAAAGAAAAGCAGCAGGUUAAUACCCCGCUGUUCUGACGGUACCCAAAGAAUAAGCACCGGCUAACUUCGUG